CGUGUCUCCCGCCAAAACACCAACCCACCCACCUGACCUACCCGCACAACCACAACCGAACUCGAUCGUCGUCACACCUGCCAGCCCUCUCCCGGAUGGAGAACCCCGCUGUAAAGGUCAAGCGGGAGGAGGAGGUGGUGGUGGUGGUGCUGGACGCCGACGGCGAUGAGCAUUUGCCCGGAGGCGCGGCGCCGGCGCCGGUGCCUUUGCAGAUGGCGUUGGCGUCUGAGGCUGCGCCGUUCGUGUCCAAGACGUUCGAGUUGGUGGAGGACCCGGCGACGGACGGCGUGGUGUCGUGGGGCGCGGCGUGGAACAGCUUCGUGGUGUGGGACCCGCACACCUUCGCCGCGCGGCUCCUCCCGCGCCGCUUCAAGCACGCCAACUUCUCCACCUUCCUCCGACAGCUCAACACCUACGGAUUUCGCAAGGUGAGCCCGGACAGGUGGGAGUUCGCGCACGCCGACUUCCUCGCCGGGCAGCGCCACCUCAUCGCCAACAUCCGCCGCCGCCGCGGGGUUGGGGGCACCUCGGCGCCGCCGUCGUCCGGUGCGGCCGGCGGCGGCAGCGGCCGUGAGGGGGAGGUGGAGAGACUGCGUCAGGACCGGGAGGCGCUGGGGCGGGAGCUGGCGCGGCUGCGGCGCGGGCAGCAGGAGGCCCGCGCGCAGCUGCAGGACAUGGAGCGCCGCGUGCGGGGCACCGAGCGGCGGCAGGAGCAGUGCACGGCCUUCCUCGCGCGCGCCGUCCGGAACCCGGCCUUCCUGGACGGCCUACUGGAGCGCCGCGGUGCGCCCGUCGAGGCCGGCAAGAAGCGGCGGCUUCUCGACGCCGCGACCACGCCCGACGUGGCGGAGGUCCUGGCCUUCGAAGAGCUCGCCCUGGCGGCGAGCGCCGAGGUCGAGGCGGCUUCCAUCCAGGCCGUGAAGGCGGCCCAGAGCGCGGGCGCCACCACCACGGACAUGAUAUGGUACAAGCUGCUGGGGGAGAAGCAGUCGGAGAUGGACGUGGAGGUGGAGGAGCUCGUCGCAGCCGCCGCCGCCGAGCCGUGGGAGGAGAUUGGCGAGGAGGAGGUGCAGGAGCUGGUGCAGCAGAUUGACCUCCUGGGAUCCCCCACCUCUUAUUGAUCACCACCAGGUGUCCAGACGUGCAGCUGCAAUGGUACUCGAUCACUGCUUAAGCAGACAGCAGCUACCUAUAAGCAAUCCAUUCUGCCGAUGUCACUUGCAAUGGCAGGCAGAACGACAUGAUCAGUUUAUCAUGGUGGUUACUGUGGUACAGUACCACAGUGUGCCUUUCGUAAUGGGCAUGCGUGCGAUGUGUGUUAGUAUCUAUCAGUAGCCUUCCUAUCUGAUUGUGAUUAGACUGAUUCGUACGAGUGACUGUUAAUCACUACGCCUGUAAACUGUCUGGCUAAUUCGGAUUCUACAUCUGUUCUUGUAGGAUCCGACGGUGGUGGUAUGUCGCAACCCAAGGUGUGGACACUGGGCAGGUUCGUGGAUGCAGCCUGCUUCAAGUGGUUGAUGUACUGUAAGGUUAUGUUCAAACGGGCUCGUCUGGAUUCGUGGUGAGCGAAAAUCCAUUCAUUUCAGAGAUGAGCUGUGCAGGACUCAUAACCCGGGGGACAAAGGCAGAUAGACACAUCAGCUGAGUGUACAACACUUCAAUUCGUUCAGAAACAACAACACUUCAACAGUUGUCAAACAAUAUUUACACAAGUUCCCAGGACAACAAAAUACAGCUAUUUGUCAGCGCUUUACAUCAUCAUGGAGUCCUUGUCGUUAAAUU